CUUAAAACCGAGGGCUGUGCGUACGGUGGUGGGGAGGUUGGUCUCUGUAGGGCCCAAACUAAUUCACCACAACGAGGAGGAAAGCCCAGAGCUCAUUGCUGAACCUAUUGUUGACGCGUUGCUAUUCCGUACGCGUGUUUAACAGCUCUAAAAGCCAUGCCCUGAAGCUGAUCUACUGAUAAAUUGCUCUGCAGCUCCCUCUAAUGGAUCGUUUGGCCAGACAGGGGCUCGGGGCAGCAGAUGCGAUAAAGCAGCGCCCGCUGCAGGGUAACACCGAGAGAGCUCUGCAGCACCAUCGUUGCCGCUGCUAUCUCUCCCCGUCCAUCCGUCACUUCACUCUUAUCUCAGCAUCUGCUGCAGCUCUGCUUCUAAGAGCUGAGAGGAGCAGGCACAGCUAAACCAGAAGGAGGCCCACAGCUCACAGACGAGAGCACCUGAGGUGACUUGUGGCGAUGGAUUCAUUCAGGAAAUAAUCUUUUGGUCCACGUAGGCCAUGCACAGACUGGUUUCUGCUUUGGGAAUCACACAGGAGAGCUGUCCAACAAUGAGAAGUUAAGGAAUGGUGCAUGGAUUAAGCCUUUCCACAGAAUGACAGAAUCGUUAAGGUUGGACGAGACCUCUCAGAUCACCCAGUCCAACCACCAGCCCAUCUUCUCCCUGCCCACUGACCACGUCCCUCAGUGCCACAUCCACAUGAUUCUUGAACACCUCCAGGGACGGUGACUCCAACCCCUCCCUGGGCAGCUGUGCCACUGCCAGAUGCCGUGGGACAGCUGCAUGAGCAUCUGAGACAGGCAGCCUGCAGUUAUAUUUCCCUAAGCUGACCAUGAAGGGACAAAGCAGCUUCUUAUGAAGUGGAGAUGACAACGCUUUGCUGGUGGUAAAAAAUAAAAAUAAAAAAUAAAAAAUAGAUCUAAUGUUGUGAUUGUACAGCUGGGGAAAAAAAUAGUCGGCCAAGUAUGUCAGACAACAAAAAUAAGCAAAAAUUACUUUGAUUUGGCUUCUACUAAAGGGACUAAAAAUAAAUACUUCUUUCAGAGGCCCCUUCUCAGAACAGGGGAUCGUGGAGGACCCACAAUCCUUAUAUCAAAACACUGAAUUAGUGAAUCUGGA
ensembl:lncRNA